rnacentral:rRNA from 1 species
AACGAACGUUGGCGGCGUGGAUUAGGCAUGCAAGUCGAGCGAAUCCCCGCGAGGGGGGAAGCGGCGAAAGGGGCAGUAAGGCAUGGGUAACCUACCCUGGGGACUGGGAUAGCCCUUCGAGAGAAGGGGUAAUACCGGGCGACGUGCCGAGGAGGCAUCUCUUUGUCACCAAAUGAAUUUCGCCCUGGGAGGGGCCCAUGUGAUAUUAGCUAGUUGGUGAGGUAACGGCUCACCAAGGCGAAGAUGUCUAGCGGGUGUGAGAGCACGACCCGCGCCACUGGCACUGAGACACUGGCCAGACACCUACGGGUGGCUGCAGUCGAGGAUCUUCGGCAAUGGGCGCAAGCCUGACCGAGCGACGCCGCGUGUGCGAUGAAGGCCUUCGGGUUGUAAAGCACUGUCGAGAGGGAGAAAAGCGAAAGCUUGAUCUAUCUCUGGAGGAAGCACGGGCUAAGUUCGUGCCAGCAGCCGCAGUAACAC